rnacentral:rRNA from 1 species
GACGAACGCUGGCGGCGCGCUUAACACAUGCAAGUCGAGCGAUGAAAUUUCGACAGAUCCCUUCGGGGUGAAGAUGAAAUGGAUUAGCGGCGGACGGGUGAGUAACACGUGAGUAACCUGCCUUUGACAUUGGGAUAGCCUCGGGAAACUGGGAUUAAUACCAAAUGACACUAACUGAUCACAUGAUCAAUUAGUCAAAGAAAUUCGGUCAAAGAUGGACUCGCGGCUGAUUAGCUAGUUGGUGAGGUAACGGCCCACCAAGGCGACGAUCAGUAGCCGGCCUGAGAGGGUGAUCGGCCACAUUGGAACUGAGACACGGUCCAAACUCCUACGGGAGGCAGCAGUGGGGAAUAUUGCACAAGGGGGGAAACCCUGAUGCAGCGACGCCGCGUGAGCGAAGAAGGCCUUCGGAUCGUAAAGCUCUUUUAUGAGGGAAGAUAAUGACGGUACCUCAAGAAAAAGCCCCGGCUAACUACGUG